UACAGAGGGGGCAAGCGUUAUUCGGAAUUAUUGGGCGUAAAGGGCGCGUAGGCGGCUUGGCAAGUGGAUGGUGAAAUCCCUCGGCUUAACCGAGGAACGGCCGUCCAAACUGCUUCGCUUGAGACCGGGAGAGGUGAGUGGAAUUCCCAGUGUAGCGGUGAAAUGCGUAGAUAUUGGAAGGAACACCAGUGGCGAAGGCGGCUCACUGGACCGGUACUGACGCUGAAGCGCGAAAGCGUGGGGAGCAAACGGG
rnacentral:rRNA from 1 species